GAUGAACGCUGGCGGUAUGCUUUACACAUGCAAGUCAUACGGGAGUUAAUUUCGGUUAACUUCAGUGGCGGACGGGUGAGUAACACGUGAGAAUUCGCCUUUAGGAGGGGGAUAACAGGGGGAAACACCUGCUAAAACCCCAUAUGCCUUCGGGUCAAACGAGUAAUCGGACUAAAGAGAAGCUCGCGGCUGAUUAGCUAGUUAGUAGGGUAAAGGCCUACCAAGGCGACGAUCAGUAGCUGGUCUGAGAGGAUGAUCAGCCAAACUGGAACUGAGACACGGUCCAGACUCCUACGGGAGGCAGCAGUGAGGAAUUUUCUGCAAUGGGCGAAAGCCUGACAGAGCAAUACCGCGUGAGGGAAGAAGGCUUACUGAGUUGUAAACCUCUGUUACCUAGGAAGGAAGAUCUGACGUUACCUAGGAGACGAAGCAUCGGCUAACUCCGUGCCAGCCGCCGCCGUAA
rnacentral:rRNA from 1 species